UCAGUCUUUGGGAAAGAGGAAAAGAGGGACUUUGAGUAAGGCGAGGCCAAAGGUGAAGGCUAAAAGAAAGGGUUGCCAAAAAUGUAGUAGGCAGAAAGUCUUCAUGUUUGACUGCAUAACUGGGAGAAGGAUAAAACAGGGGAAAGCAGAAAUGAAAAUUUGCUGGUUG